AGGGGAAACGAUAGGGAAAGCUUGCUUUUCCUAGGCGUCGACCGGCGCACGGGUGAGUAACGCGUAUCCAACCUGCCCAUGUCUGGGGAAUAACCCGUCGAAAGGCGGACUAACUCCCCAUGGUCUCCGAUGAGGACAUCUGAAUUGGAGUAAAGCUUCGCGGACAUGGAUGGGGAUGCGUCUGAUUAGGUAGUAGGCGGGGUAACGGCCCACCUAGCCCACGAUCAGUAGGGGUUCUGAGAGGAAGGUCCCCCACAUUGGAACUGAGACACGGUCCAAACUCCUACGGGAGGCAGCAGUGAGGAAUAUUGGUCAAUGGACGAGAGUCUGAACCAGCCAAGUAGCGUGCAGGAUGACGGCCCUAUGGGUUGUAAACUGCUUUUGCGCGGGGAUAACACCCUCCACGUGCUGGAGGUCUGCAGGUACCGCGCGAAUAAGGACCGGCUAAUUCCGUGCCAGCAGCCGCGGUAAUACGGAAGGUCCGGGCGUUAUCCGGAUUUAUUGGGUUUAAAGGGAGCGUAGGCCGUGAGGUAAGCGUGUUGUGAAAUGUAGGCGCCCAACGUCUGCACUGCAGCGCGAACUGCCCCACUUGAGUGCGCGCAACGCCGGCGGAACUCGUCGUGUAGCGGUGAAAUGCUUAGAUAUGACGAAGAACCCCGAUUGCGAAGGCAGCUGGCGGGAGCGUAACU
rnacentral:rRNA from 1 species